rnacentral:tRNA from 1 species
GUGGACAUAGCUCAGCUGGUUAGAGCGUCGGAUUGUGGUUCCGAAGGUCGCGGGUUCGAAUCCCGUUGUCCACC